rnacentral:rRNA from 1 species
AUUGAACGCUGGCGGCAGGCCUAACACAUGCAAGUCGGGCGAGCGGCGGAGGGGCGAGUAAUGUAUGGGGAUCUGCCUGAUGGAGGGGGAUAACUACGGGAACCUGUAGCUAAUACCGCGUACCAUAGGUUGAGCCCAAGUGGGAUUAGGUAGUUGGUGAGGUAAAGGCUCACCAAGCCGACGAUCUCUAGCUGGUCCGAGAGGAUGACCGGACACACUGGAACUGAGACACGGCCCAGACCCCUACGGGAGGCAGCAGUGGGGAAUAUUGCGCAAUGGGGGCAACCUGACGCAGCCAUGCCGCGUGAAUGAAGAAGGCCUUCGGGUUGUAAAGUACUUUCGGUGGCGAGGCGUUAACUACAGAAGAAGCACCGGCUAACUCCGUGCCAGCAGCCGCGGUAAUAC